GAUCAUGGCUCAGGAUGAACGCUAGCGACAGGCCUAACACAUGCAAGUCGAGGGGCAGCGGAGAGGUAGCAAUACCUUUGCCGGCGACCGGCGCACGGGUGAGUAACACGUAUGCAAUCCACCUGUAACAGGGGGAUAACCCGGAGAAAUCCGGACUAAUACCCCAUAAUAUGGGCGCUCCGCAUGGAGACGCCCAAUUAAAGAGAGCUAAUUUUGGUUACAGACGAGCAUGCGCUCC
rnacentral:rRNA from 1 species